UUAUGGUAUCAUAACCAUUGUUGACCGUUCAUAGAAUCCUUGCAAUUGCUUUGCAGCUUAUGCGGGGAUUCUACGACGGUUAGCCGAGACCUUUGACAUCAAAUA
rnacentral:pre_miRNA from 2 species